AGCGAACGCUGGCGGCAGGCUUAACACAUGCAAGUCGAGCGGGCGUAGCAAUACGUCAGCGGCAGACGGGUGAGUAACGCGUGGGAACGUACCUUUUGGUUCGGAACAACACAGGGAAACUUGUGCUAAUACCGGAUAAGCCCUUACGGGGAAAGAUUUAUCGCCGAAAGAUCGGCCCGCGUCUGAUUAGCUAGUUGGUGAGGUAACGGCUCACCAAGGCGACGAUCAGUAGCUGGUCUGAGAGGAUGAUCAGCCACAUUGGGACUGAGACACGGCCCAAACCCCCGCGGGGGGCAGAAGGGGGGAAAGUUGAACAGAGGGGGAAACCCUGAACCAGCCAUGCCCGGGAAGGUAGGAAGGCCCAGGGGUUGUAAAGCCCUUUUGGGGGGGAAGAAAACGACGGGACCCGAAGAAUAGGCCCCGGCUAACUUCGU
rnacentral:rRNA from 1 species